rnacentral:lncRNA from 1 species
AUGUGAUGUUCCCAGUUGAAUUUCUACAUAGCCAGUGGAUUUGCAUAGCAGCUCUGAACCAGUGAGUUUGAGAUAUCCAUCCUUUUAUACAUGCAGAAAGAAUUGGCGCAGAUAGAAAUGUUACCUUACCUCUCUCAAGAGCAUCAUCUAUAUAAAAAACUCUGAAAAAUGACCCAGGUAAGAGAGUGGUGGGAGCUUUGAUUGGAUCAUCCAGAAACAUAUGGAGAACCACAAAAGGCUCAAAGAUUCUACAUGCCAACAAGCAAUAAAUGGAGAGAGUCAGCAGUGGAACAGAAAUAUUUGACUGAGUCAAGAAUGUCUUGUGUACCACAAACACAACAACAUAUCACAAUAAACUGAAUGCAAAAGCAAAUAUAAGAACCCAGGAGUUUGUCAUUGGAGUUGAUAAUAAAGUUUUUCAAAAAUGUAAAGCA